GAGAGGGAGGAGCAUGGUAGCAGGUGAUAUCUUUAGAGGCAAUUAUGCCCAGUUGCUGCUGAUUUUGAUGAUGAUGUGGUGGUGAGGUAGGUGGAGCUACCGAGGGUUUUGAGUGAGGGGAAACUGCAGUUGGGCAGAUGUACCUGCUUCCUCUAGCCCUGUGCAACUCUAGCUUCUCCUGCCUCUCAUUUGCAGGGCCAGCUCAGUAGCGUUCAGUCGCUGAUCUGCUGCUGACAUGGGCAGAGGCACCUCGGUGACUUCACAUCCAGCACCUGGCAGGUCUCGGUAGAACAAGAGCCAGCGAUGGCCCACUAACGUUCCACCCGUCGUCGAUGCGGCUCCGCUCACCUUCCGGGCCGUAAAGGCCUUUGUCCGUCGUUUACCGGAGGAGGUGAGGUCUCGUCCAACCGGGACAGAGCGGCCAGCACAGGUCCCAAACCCGCACAGCUCCAAGGCCCAAGGGUGGCAGCCUUCUCGGGCCGUCGAGGCCCUAACGGCUCUCCGUGGCGUUCAAGUGGCUGCCAUUCUUCUCGCCCUGCCACGCUGGACUCGCAAAGGCGAUGUGGCAGAGGCUUCGCCUAAGCCCUGCAGCGCUGGGCCGAGAGACCCGGCCAUCGGCUGGGCCCGGGCUUGUGGGGUCCGCCGCCGUUUGGUCGCGGAGGUGGGGGCGGCGGAGAGGUUCGCUGCUACUCCAAGGCCUGGGCCAUGGACGGCCGUGAGGACUCUGGGGCUCUGCAGGGCACAGGUCAGGCCUGUCCCAGAGCCCCCCUAGUUCACCGCCUCCCGAGGCCAGAGGGCCCCGAGGGCCCCGGGACAGAGGGCCGCGAUCCACUUCUCACCGCGCUCUCCGCCGGAACUCACCGCUUCUUGGGAGUACUACACACUUUGAUGCCUGUUGGAGAUGAGAACCAAGAGGCUCCUAGAGGAACUGCAGAAACCGUGGCCGUGGAAGGAGGUAAAUGGCACUUGGAGAUGCAGAAAAACAAGGUUUAUUCGGCACCAGUGCCGGCUCAGAGGAGUCACCCCCAGAGUCUGAGCACCGGGUCUUUGUUCUCAGCACCUUUUAUACAAUAUCGGGUCUUGUUUCUCCCAUGCAAGCAAUCCUGAACCUCCUCCUUCCUGGAGCAGACUGACAAUGUUCCUGCCGAAGAAACUGAGCAAGCAAGGUUAUAGAAGCGAAACUGAGAAGCAAUGCUUGGAGCACCAUUAGCAGGGCUGCUGGCUUGAACAUAGGGCACGUAGUUGCUACAUAAUUAUGAGGAGGAUGGACUGAGGCUGAGCAGAACUGAAAAGGCAUGGAAAUGCUUUUUCAGGCAAGGCGGGGGUUAAGUCUCUUAGUUAAAUCUCCCAGUUCACUUCCUUGUGGGGUUCUCCCAUAAGCUUUCCUUACAUACUCUUUACAAUGCCUUUAGCCUGCUGUGAAGCAGCCUUGGUAUCUUUGCCACUUAGAGAUGUUUUCCACUUGUUUGUAUGUAGUUAGCUUAAAGUACGGAACGAAAUUUAUUUUUCUCUCCCUCCCCCUUCUUCCUAGCAUUUCCCCCUUUUCCUUUUUCUUUUCCUUUCUCCCAUUUUAGUGUCUUCUCCUUUCUCUUGAGUUAUACAUGAUAUUUCAAAAGCUAGCCUAUCUAGCAAGAUCCUUUUUCUCUGGUUAAAAGAGCAACAACAGUGUGCUUGUUUGUGUGUGUACAAGCACACACACUUGUGUCUUUUCCACACGUUUGUCUCAUUUACUCCCAAGGUGUAAACUUGGAGACAAGGAAAAGCCAGGAAGCCCUCUGUUAAUUAGUGUAUUGGUCUGUAUGAACAAACUCUUCACUAAAUGUCAAAAAUAAAGGUGUCAGGCUGCUCUCUAGGGAAAGGAUUUCCACGGAGUGCUAGGUCAUAACUGAGCUGAUGGCCUUUCAUCAGUAAGUUGUGCCCAAGGCUCUACUUCCUUCCAGUCCUUUACAAGCCGUUCAUGGAAACCAACUUAGGAGAGAACACGAUGAAACUAACCAGCCAACAAAAUUUGUUCUUGAACGACCUAGGGCUCAAUCAGGGGACACGUGGCCAAGCUGGCUGGGUGAGUCUCUCCAGUUUGGGGAGCCCACAGGGGGUGUGGGGUGGGGCUUCCAUGGAGCAGGCACAUGGGAGUCGUGGCUGCACCAGUGGGGCAACUAGGCAUGCUCAGAAGCCCUGCAGGUGGGGUCUCUCCAGGUAGCCAGGGUUUUAUAGCAGUGCGGAAGCCCAGAGGAGGAGUGGCCCCCGUUGGCCAUGACCACCACCUGCAGGCAGAGGAAGAGUUCUGAGGAGGGUAGCAGUCUCCAUCCUUUGGGGCAACAGCGUGUCUGCUUUGGAGAAAGGGUAUCCAAGGGGCAAGGACAGUAAUUCCGGAAAGAUGGGCCAGCAUUUGGCCAACACAAUCUGUUCUUCGGAGACCUGGGGUGCAAUCAGGGGACACGCUUGGCCAGGCUGGCCGGAAACCCAGCAGGUGGCUCUCUGGAGGCAUCGCGGGCAUUACCGCUGCCAGGGAAGAGGAGUGGCCAGUGGCAGCCAAGACCACCACCAGCAGGCAGAGGAAGAGUUCUGAGGAGGGAAGGGCUCUCCACCCCUUGGAAGGAGAAGGGAAGGAGAAGGGAAGGAGGAGGAGGAAAAGUGAAGGGGGUGGCACCAGUUCUUCUGGAGAAACUGGCGAUGAAUAGAAGUCAGAUACGCACUUCCUGAACGCCAGGGGGAGGCGACCCACGGAAAGUGGACUGGGAGACCCCCGCCCCCCACCCCACGCACUGGGGAGGCGUGGCUGUCAGGCUUGAGAGAGGACCCGGGGCAUAGUGGCCAGGGCCACAACCUUGGCCUGGGAAAGUUCUCAGAUGUGGUGUUAAAUCAGACUGUAUCCACCAGCCUGCACCGCAGACACAGCAACUUGGGAUCCCACCCAUGUCUGGGACCUAUACCCCCGCUUGUGGCAACACUGG